GGGCCGGCGGCUCCGGAACGAGAUCAGGAAGUAAGCAGUCCACUAACCCUGCUGAUAACUACCAUCUGGCCCGGAGGCGAACCCUGCAAGUGGUUGUGAGCUCCUUGCUGACAGAGGCAGGGUUUGAGAGCGCUGAGAAAGCAUCUGUGGAAACAUUGACAGAGAUGCUGCAGAGCUACAUUUCAGAAAUUGGGAGGAGUGCCAAGUCUUACUGUGAGCACACAGCCAGAACCCAGCCCACACUGUCAGAUAUUGUGGUCACCCUUGUCGAGAUGGGUUUCAAUGUGGACACUCUCCCUGCUUAUGCAAAACGGUCUCAGAGGAUGGUCAUCACUGCCCCUCCAGUGACCAAUCAGCCAGUGACCCCCAAGGCCCUCACUGCAGGACAGAACCGACCCCACCCACCGCACAUCCCCAGCCAUUUCCCCGAGUUCCCCGACCCCCACACCUACAUCAAAACUCCGACGUACCGCGAGCCUGUGUCGGACUACCAGGUCCUGCGGGAGAAGGCUGCAUCCCAGAGACGAGACGUGGAGCGGGCACUCACCCGUUUCAUGGCCAAGACAGGCGAGACCCAGAGUCUUUUCAAAGAUGACGUCAGCACAUUUCCAUUGAUCGCUGCCAGACCUUUCACUAUCCCCUACCUGACUGCUCUUCUUCCAUCUGAGCUGGAGAUGCAACAAAUGGAAGAGACGGAUUCCUCGGAGCAGGAUGAGCAGACAGACACGGAGAACCUCCCUCUUCAUAUCAGCACGAAUUAGGGCUGGGAGCCCAUGGCUUUAUGUAAAGCAGAGGAACUUGUUAUUCUGCACUUCUGUUUUGGACUCGGUUAAUUUGGUCUGAGAUGUGGUGAUUGGGUCAUGGACUAAGAUGAGGUUCACCUUCUGAGAAGGAGGAAUCUUCUAAGCAAACAUCACCAUCCCUUUGUAAGUACAAAGUAGCUGCAGGGCUUGUAGGUGUGUUAUCUCACACUCCAGUUACUGCUGUAGGUGAGGUUACAGAGGUGAGGAACCAAGGCUGCACGGAUGCCAGGAGUCACCCGAGGACUCCAGGACCCCAGAGGCCAAGCCAGGCAGCAAAGAGUAGACAGAACUGAGCCUCCGAGUCAGAAUGGCCUGCCUGCGAAUCCAGACAGGGCUACUUUCCAGCUAAGCGACUUUGGUUGCAUCACCCAACAUCUGAGCCUGUUUCCUCACAAAUACAAAUAGGACUAGAAACGCCUGCCUCAGGGGGAGAAAAGAAGCUGAGAUGCAAUGAGCUCAUCUCUGUCGGGUGCUGGCCGGCGGCAGCUCGUGGUGCCCCCCACCCGUCAGCAACUGUAUGGCCGUAUGUUCUUCUGUGAAAAAUAAACAAAUAGAAAGACUUCAGGAAAAGGAUUCCAGCAACAAUUUAUGGGCAGUCAGUCAGGCUUGUUCUUUUGUUGGCCUGGCGAAUACAAUCCUAUGUUUAAAGUUCAGAAUGUCUGAGAAGGUGUAUGGUGACAAUUCUUCUGCCCGUCCUGGUUCACUUUCCCUCCUGCAAAGCAACCAGUGUCACUAGUCUCUUGUGAAUCCUUCUAGAGAUGGUUUUAAUUGUUGUUUCAAACACAAACAGCAAAUCACAAAGGGUUUCUGCCCCUGCUUCAUCGCUGCAUUGUGUGGGUUUAACAACUGAAUCGAGCUAGUCCCCUGUGGACCGACAUUAUUACAGUGAAGUCAGUAACUGGUAUUUUAUUUGUUGUUGGAGGGGAGGUAAUUAGGUUUCUUUCUUUCUUUUUAGAGGAGCAAACGGGGAUUGAACCCAGGACCUCAUACAUGCUAGGCAUGUGCUCUACCGCUUGAGCUAUUCCCUCCCCCCUUAGUAACUGGUAUUUUAAAUUGCUCUUUCCUCUAUCGAUGACACAUCUCUCAAGGACUGCUGCUAGACACUUUGGUUAACUUGGCUGUGGUUUCUCCAUCUACUUGAACAUAAAGGGACUAUUCAUUUAAACUUAGUGUAUAAUAGGAUUUUUUUUUCUCAUAUAUUUGUACUAGCUGCCUUCUGCAGGGAAUUCCAGCAUCUAAACUUUUACUCUUUUAGGAACAGUGUACCAUUCAUUUACUCAACAAGGAUUUAUUUAGUACCUGGUAGAUGCCAGAUACUGUCUGGGUGCUUACGUAUCAGUGAACAGAGCAGAGGCAACCCCUGCCUUUGGGGAUCCUGGCCAGUGUGGGAGCGACCAUAAACAUAGUAUGUCAGUACGUGAUUAUAUGGUCUGUUAGAGAUGAAAGUGCUGUGGGGUGGACGGGAAACAGUAGGGAAAGGUCCAGGGUAAAGGGUGAAGUUUGAGUUGUAAAUAGGGUAUUCAGAGUAGACAUCACAGAGGAGGUGACAUCGGAGCAGAGUCUUGAAGGAGGUGAGGGAGUGAACCAUGUGGAUAUCUGGGGAAGAGUGUUCUGGAAAGGGAACAGCCAGUGCAAAGGCCCCACGGCACAGAGGUGAGUGUGGGUGUGGCUGCGGAAGGCAGUGGGUAGGGGGAGAGGUCAGAUCAGGAAGGGCCUUGUAAGCAGUUUUAUGAACUGUCUUCACUGGGUGAAGUGGGAGUCGUGGGAGGGUGUGGAGCAGAGGGACAGAUCCAGAGUUCUCUAGGGAGCAUUGACUGCGAUGGUGAGAAUGGGGCAGGCAGAGAAGGGACUGUGGAGGGAGGGCAGUAAGGAAAUUGUUGUCCCAGUAAAGACAAUGGUGGGUCCUCCCACAGUGGUCGCAGUAGAGACAGUGGAAGUGGUCAGAUUCUGCCUGGAUUUUGAAGGAAAGGCCAAGAAGUUUCCUAACAAAUGUGGCUGUCGGAUGUCAGAGAAAGAAAAGAUGUAGGAAUGACUGUGGAGUCUGGGGCUUGGACCACUGGAAGGAUGGGGGUCUCUGUCUAUUGUGAUGGGAGGACUGUGGGAGGAGCUGCUCAUGCCAAGGCGGGGAUCUGGGGUUCAGUUUCAGGCACAUUGGAUCGGAGAUGCCUGCUUGACCACGUUGAGUGCCAGUGACUGUGCAAGCCUGGAGGUCAGGAGAGAGGACGAUUCUGGAGCCGAGAAGGAGAACACAUCUGUCCUGCAGCAGAACCCCUCCUUGUCGGGCAGCCG